rnacentral:snoRNA from 1 species
AAACAGCCUCCUGCUAAAAUAAAGUUGUUUCUUAUCUAUCCCUGUCUGCUGAACUCUCGUAGCAGCCAGGGAUGCUUAGUCUCAUACUU